ACAAGAAUGACUACAUGAAAUGUGCUAUUUAACAAAACUGAAAUUAGCAGUAAUAAAAUGAAGCAUUAACUUUUCUGUCCUGAACUAAUGCAUCUUCUGGCAAAAUACUAAUGUAUUCACACGUAUUUAAAAUUUUGUCCUUAAAUAUAGUUUUUAUUAAAUCCCAGUUCUUCAGUUAUCAUAAGUUUUUAUUAUUGAAACUAUAUUAAAAAAAUCUAGAGGGAUGUUGUUGUCCAAAUGGAGUAUAAAAAGAAUCAUUGGUCAGGACAUUGCUUAGCAUAAAAAUACUCUUACCUGUUCCAUGCAUAGAAAACUUAUUAAAAUGCAUAUUUCACAGUGAACCAGGUGGCUGUAUGGGUUGCUCAUAAUGGAAAAUUGAGGAUUUGUAUCUGCCAGUUUAUAGAUACAAAUCUGGCUCAGUACAUUUUCUCUAGAGCUUUUGGAGCAUCAUGGGCUGAGAUGCUGGGCAGAACCUCAGGUAACAGAUCCCACAGGAGCAAACAGGUCACCAGCAACAGUUUCUCUUAUCCUACAGAAAAUMAAACAUUUCAUUUGAAAGACUUAARUAGUUAUGUGAGAGAACCAGAAACAGUAAUAAGACAUUCCAAAUGGAUGAAAAUAUUCAAGUUCAAAUGCUAAUAUUUACAAAAUACAUGUGGGGGAGGUGUUUAAAUGCAAUCUCAUUCCAUGAUGAUGAGGAACAGAAAGUAAGGCAAAAGCAUAACAGCUGAGAAACAAAUACUUAAAAGGAAAUUAAUUGUUGUYCCUAUCCCUGCUUACUUUCUAGGUUCAAUGAAAACAGCUGGUCUUUAUAUUUAAAAUAUAAUUUGUUUUAAAUUAUAUUAACUGCCAAAACUUAGGAUGCAGAAAUACAGGCCCUACACAGUUUUUACCCAACUGGAUGGCUUGAACCUGACCAGAAGACCACAAGAAGUUACUGGAAUGAACCCCCGAGAAACUGUGCUGAUGCAGUGCCCUUUUACAGAUAAUCUCUUUCAUUGAACUGCAUCCAUAGAUGGUAUUUCCCUGUAAGCUGCUCUUGUGUUUGAUUUAAAAAACUAUCUGAAUUCCAUAAAUAAAAGAUAAGUUUCAUGGAUCAAUARAAAUUCAAAAUCUUCAGUAAAAAUGUAAGCAGGACUGGUGCCUGAAACUUUUUUUAAUGCUUUUUUUUAAUGCUAGAUGCUGCUUCAACUAUUCAGUAAAAAGUUACUGGAGACAAAUUAAAGGUGCCUCUGUUUCUAAUGCCUGUAAUUGUUUCAAAGCUUUUSAUCUUUCAUCUUAAUACAGGAGGUGAAAGUAUGCUUUUUCGUUUCUGCUAUGGAGUAAGGAGAAACGUGUUUGAAUAAUACUUCAAGGACCAUUCUGUGUCAUUUAUUUAACAUGUGCUGGGGAAGAAAUAGAUAGUUGUUUUGAGUCAUCUGCUCUGAUGUUCAAAAUUUAAGCCAGCCUUUGGUUAAUCUUUUGUUUGCACAUACUUUUUGCAGAAUGUACUCACAUCUCAGUGGAAUUUUACUUUUAAAUUAAAAAAAAAAAGAUUAAAAUCUAUACCAACUGAGACAAGUCAUGGAUUUCMAAGUCUGGCAUGAGAGAGUCACACUAGUAAAAACUCAUAUUUCAUCAGCUAUUGGCUAAUUAUUUAUAAAAAUUUGAUCAGAGUUUGCUCUCUGAUUAAAGCUGUUCUUCUGUGCUGGAAAAUAAUAGUUUGGUAUUGACAGCCCUUUCCAGGACACAUUGAUCCUUAGGAGAUACUGGUGCAGCUGCCACAUGAGUGACUCAAGCAGACAGCCUGGGAACAGCAAAUUGCUUAUAGGCAGCUUCUGAAAUAUAGAAAUAAACACACACACACACACACACACAGUAUAAUUGACUCUGCAACAGCUGUAACGGGUGAUACACGAGAUCUCCCGUUCACUAUGCAUUCCAAAUAUUAAACAGAACAAUAUAGUAAUAACAAAGAAGCAUGAAAACUCUGCACAUUUAUUGCUGUGGCACUAUMUGCAAAAGCCGUGCAAACAAAAGAUGAUGCAGUUAGGAAAGUAUAAAUAUUGUAUUUCAAUUUAAUUUUCUGUAUUUUUUAAUCCCAUGGAGAAUGCUAGUUUUUUAAUGGAGCCACAAUUUAUAGAAAGAAUAAAGCUUCCAAAUCUAACCGUUUCAAUAAGCUAAAACUUGUUCUUAUUUAAGACAGCGAUAGAGCCUUUAGAGGACAGGAUGAGACAUAAUUCUGAUCAAGCUAUUUUCCACAAACCUAGGCUGGAGAAAAAUCUCAUCUGUCUUCCCCUAACAAGAGCCGUAUGCUUUUGUUUUCUUUAAGGAAAGGGUAACAAGGGAUUCUUGAGAUUUAUGAACAGCACAGAUACUGCUCUUUUGGAGGAAAGGAUGUUAUUCAUGUACUUUCCAGAGAAAACAUUAUUUGCCUCUCUUUUCUGCUGUAGUUUUUAGAGGAAGGUUAGUAUUUGAGAAGUAGAAARGAUUACUGAAUAGAAAUUGCAAAAGAAUGUUUUUCAUGUAGUUGAGAAAUCCAGGAUGUUUUAUGCAUUACAGCAAGAAGAGAUAAAUCAUUCCAGCUGCUAAUGCCAAAUGACAGAAUUAUUACUGAUUWCUGUAGGAGUCUUUGGAUCAUGUGGCAGAUCCUUGGCACUACUGGGUAACACAGAGCUGUCUGAAAAGGAUGGGUGUGGAAUGUGUUUUGCAUGAGUUUCAGUGAAUGACAGUGCACUGGGGGCAAUAUAUUCCACAGAAGUCUAGAAAUGCAAAAGUUAGGAGUUUAGUUUAAGCAAGUCUUGCUUCUGAAAUCAGUAGAAAGAUACGGGUGGUUCCCAGAUGCAAUCUGAACGGCAGCUAGAAUAAAUCACUCUUUCAGGAUGUCAUAUUUGGCGCUCGCCAAAAUCACUGGAGAUAAAGGCUGAUGCACAGGGAURGACUUCAGUUGCAUUUGAGAAGGUUUCUGGAUAAAUCUCAUGCUUACAUUACCCUUCAGAGCAAAAUCAAGCUAUCUGCAGUAUCCUGAUAUGAACCUGGUGAGACCUGGAAUGCCUGUGCAGAACAUCUAAUAAUACCUGUUUCUUUCUAUUUUCACAUGUUUCAUGCUGUGCAAAAACAUUGGUUUUGGGGUUCCUCCUACAAGGGCUAUGACAUCAGACACUGCAGGGGCUGAUGAGUUUUAUUUAUUUGCUGGUAUGCAGUUGCAUGACUACAGAAUCUGGAAGAGAGAAAAGAAUCAGUUGAGAAGCAACAGAACUGUGGAUUCCACAUAUUGUGUUUCUCUAGAGCCACCUUGAGCCACAGAAUACAAAUAAAUAAUGUAAGCUGAAGGUGCUACUCGGAGGCACAGUUUUAUCCAUCCUUCAACCUUGGGUGUCAUGUUCCAGCACCAGUUCACAUAAGGCUGUGCAGAAGAGACCAGAAGGUUUUAUGUGGACCAAUUCCAAUAACAUACAAGACAAUUACAUAGAGACUUCUGAAGGUCCUGCUCUGGCAUGGACUGUUCUGACGGCUCUGCCAUCACCUAGGAAGGUAAAAUCUCUUUCACCUUCCUAUAUCUGUUUGCAGGAACUUGUGCUUCUUGCCAAGCAACUGAUGGUCACAAGCCAUAAGAGUGGCCUUCACUGUAAUCUGUUUUCUCCCCAGCCACAGAACRAGAUCAGAUCUAUCAGUUCUUGCUGCACUUUCAGGCAAGGUGCCAGUAACUUUGCCAUAUGCCGCCAGCAGGGAUCCUUAACAAAGACAUGUCUUGGUGAUUGCUUUUCCUUUUUAAAAGACAAAGGAAACUGUAUAUAUGUCUAGAUGAAGGGGAGCUCUAGCAUAACUGAAUGUCUUUCCUUUUGCAAUAAAUUGGAUCUUAAAUCAGCUCAACUUCUUAAAAUACAAUUUUUCAAGAAAAAAAACUACACAAUUUGGCAAAACCAGAUUAAAAACAGAUUAGAUGCUAUAAAGUCUGUUAUAAUAAAAGACAGCUUCUGYGUCUUUGCUAAACAUUGUGCUAAUCAGUGAUAUAAUGAAUAUUAGAAAAAGCAGCAAAUUGAUUCCUAAAUGUCACAAUUACAUUUUAACAGAGGACAUUAAAAGCAGUUAUUUCCUUUCUUGAUUGCUUAGAGGUUUUAUUAUUUCAUUAUAAUUUAUCAUACAAAWACAAACCAGGCCAGCUCAGCUUCUUUUGUUUAUAGAUAAUAAAUAAAUGGAAUUUAAAAGGAAGCUAUAGAAACCCCUUCAGUAGAAUUUAUUUUAUAGCAAUUCACAAAGGUUUUUGUCAGAACAACUGAAGCAUUUUUUGUCCUCAGCAAGACCAAAACAAGAUUGUAUUCGAAAAGCUUUAUGUGAGAAGGUCCAUUGGCGCUCACAUUCAAAGUAAUUAUUCUUGUAAAAUUAAUUAACUUUUUUUUUUAAUCUAAGCCCUUAGAAUACUUCCCAUUAGUAACAGCAGGUCUGUGCUUUUUAUGUUCAUUGUGGCAGAUGUUCUUUACAUCCCAGAUUUCCUCAGAACAACAGAAUGGUUUGAUGGAUGAAAGACUACAUCUGGAAAAAGUGUAUCAGUCAGCAUCAUUAAAAGCCUGAGCUAGGGCCCACUGAAAUCAGUGGGAGUCACUGGCUUAUGUUCACAUUUUUUAUAUCUUGUUAAGAAGGAGUAAGUCUUAAUUAUUAAAAAAGAAUGGAAUUAUAUUCUUUACUUGCAUUGCACAUAAUUUAUUUCUCCAACAGUGAAGAAGAGACAGGUUGUAUUGGCAGAAGAAUCUGUCAUGGCACUUAAGGAUAGCUGGGCUUGGGAUCCCAUGAGACUUUCAGGUUUACACAGUGAGUGCCAGCUGGCAAACACCCUGGGGAGUCUGCAAAGGCUCCUAAAACGUGCUGGGAAGGUGUAGCUGGCUAUGGCGUACCACUACUACUGACAAAAGGGAAGAACGUUUAAGCAAACAAGAAAGCUGAAGGCUGAGGUUUCUAUGACAGCAUUUUGGCUAGGCCAGGGUUARUUUUUGCAGUAGCCAGGAGGAGGUAUGGCUAGGACCUGAAGGUCAUUCUCUACCACCUCACWUCAUUUUCUGGGGACUGGGGA